UACGAAGGGUGCAAGCGUUACUCGGAAUUACUGGGCGUAAAGCGUGCGUAGGUGGUGAGUUAAGUCUGAUGUGAAAUCCCCGGGCUCAACCUGGGAAUGGCAUUGGAUACUGGCUCGCUAGAGUGCGGUAGAGGGUGGUGGAAUUCCCGGCGUAGCAGUGAAAUGCGUAGAGAUCGGGAGGAACAUCUGUGGCGAAGGCGGCCACCUGGACCAACACUGACACUGAGGCACGAAAGCGUGGGGAGCAAACAGG
rnacentral:rRNA from 1 species